rnacentral:sRNA from 1 species
ACCUGGCACGGUGGUGUGUGCCUGUAAUCCCAGCAGCUCAGGAGGCUGAGGCAGGAGGAUCACGAGUUCAAAGCCAGCCUCAGUGAAAGUGAGGCACUAAGCAACUCAGUGAGACCCUGUCUCUA